rnacentral:rRNA from 1 species
GAUCCUGGCUCAGAUUGAACGCUGGCGGAAUGCUUUACACAUGCAAGUCGAACGGUAGAGGGGGCAACCCCUUGAGAGUGGCGAACGGGUGAGUAAUAUAUCGGAACGUGCCCAGUCGUGGGGGAUAACGUAGCGAAAGUUACGCUAAUACCGCAUACGAUCUAAGGAUGAAAGCGGGGGAUCGCAAGACCUCGCGCGAUUGGAGCGGCCGAUAUCAGAUUAGGUAGUUGGUGGGGUAAAGGCUCACCAAGCCGACGAUCUGUAGCUGGUCUGAGAGGACGACCAGCCACACUGGAACUGAGACACGGUCCAGACUCCUACGGGAGGCAGCAGUGGGGAAUUUUGGACAAUGGGCGCAAGCCUGAUCCAGCCAUUCCGCGUGCAGGAUGAAGGCCUUCGGGUUGUAAACUGCUUUUGUACGGAACGAAACGGCCUGUCCUAAUACGAUGGGCUAAUGACGGUACCGUAAGAAUAAGCACCGGCUAACUACGUG